ACAUCCAAGAGGGCAAGGAAAGCGGUGAAGAAGGUGAAAGCAAGCGUUAUCAUCAAGCUUGCUCAAUUCUUCCUGAUGACGUAUUGAGGCUUGUAUUUCCAAGACUUGAUUCUGUCGACAAAACCCAUGUGCAUACUGUUUGCAAGGAUUGGCUACGACUCACGAACCAAAUUCAUUAUCAGCUUCAGGUCAGCUGCUAUUUCUUUUAAUCAUCAAAGAAUAAUAGUCCAAGUAUUAGCUUGGACUAAUUGUUGACUAUUUCCCUCGACUCUGCUCAUUUGAUUUGUAGAUAUUCAUUGGAGGGAUGUUGCUCUUUAGUUAAUUACCGUCAAUGCUAUUGCAAGAUUUAUUCCUUGCUAGGUUUUUCAAUAUAAACAAGUUGUCUAUAAGUAGCACAAAAAAUUAAUGAAUGAAAAAAAUUAUCAAGUAUGCGAUUGACCUUCAGACAGCUGCAGAUGUCUCAUCAGCUGUUCCUGUUGGCGAACCAGGUACAAAUGGGACAAAUCCCCGUCCGCCAAACACUGGCCUCAUGAAUCUGUCGUCAAAUUUUCUCCACAAGUAAUGAACAGUUAUUGUGGGGUGAGUUAUCAACAACCUUAGGCUACUUGCUUUUUGGGUCAUUUGAUUGUUUCGCUGCUCGCUUGGGUCACCAUCUUCAAUGAAUAGUUGCCUUAGGUCUUCCAGACUUGGAAUAUCAGUUGCAUCUGAAACCAUUGGUUUUCUAUUCCUUAAGAGCACUGCCCCAAUAAGAGGUUUUGUCACUGAGCCGCAGACCUGUUCCCAUAAGAGAAAUGUCAUGUGUAUGUUAGGACAAUGUUUGUGCUAAUAAUCAAGGUGGAUGCAAUUCAAACGGAAUUCUUUUGAUUUCGAUUCUUUGAAGAUUUGACUAAAAUAUUGAGUUUUCCACUAAAACCAUUUAAAUUGGUCAUAUGUGCCACUGAGGAAGUGCAGAGCUCCCAGAACUACUGGUUAGUGCAGAACAAAGACAAGGAUUUAAAGAUAGAACAAUCUAAGGGCUCUCAGAUAAACAGAACUUACAAUUGUACUGAAGAGAACAACGGUAAUUGUACAGGUGAUCAUUAGUGCAGAAUCAGAGGAAGUGAUUUGCUGGGUGUUUGAAAACUGUAAUUAGAUAAUGAACAAGCAUAUGUCAAUCUGAGAAUCAAACACCUUGAAGUAGAAAUUCAAUUAUCGUGGCAUACCUGGUUAUAAGACAAAGCAAUAGUAACUGCACCUCUCAUUAGUCCUGCCCACCACAUGAUAAACUAAAAUUUCAAACAGUUAGCGACAUUUUCUAGUAGAACCAUAUGAGGGUAGCUAUUUUUUGGAUUCCAUGUGAUUAUUACCUGUUGCUUAAACUCAAUUUUGUUACCCUGUCUCUUUUGGAAACAAUUUAUAAUAUUUGCUAAAGGGAACACAAAUGCUGCCCUUCCGAUUAACACCAGUGCAAAGAAUGUUGCGCUGAUGGUCACCAAAGUUCCUGCACUGAAUUUUGAAUGCAAAACAAGGUAGGUAUGCCAAGUGAUGUUCUAAUGUAAAAUCUCUAGAGGCAUACAUUAUCAUGGAUUAUGAACUAAUUGUCUGUAUAUAUAGCAACAUUCAUCACCCUUCAGUUAAUAUACCAUGGCCAAUACUAAGGUUCAGUAUUAUUAGGAAGAGCACGUCUGUAUAUUUAACUGGUAGAAGGUUACCUUGCAUGACUCUCUUUCCAAUUUUCAAUGUCGAAGGCAUCCAUACCGACGUACACAAAGAUAAAAGUUUCUGCAAUAAAUGACAUUGUUGCAAAUGCAUGCCUGAAAUUAUCAGCCAGCAUCAGGUUAACUAAAAUCAUUACCAUUUCUGGAGGAAAUUUAAAAGAAAAGCAAAUAUAUCAAAAAAUAAAAGGGUUUCCAUCUAAAUCUGUAGUCAGGAACUAGAAUAAGUUUGCACAAAUGUAUGCCGGAAAUUAUCAGCCAGCAUGGGAUUAACUAAAAUCAUUCACCAUGUCUAGAGGAAACUUAAAAGAAAAUCAAAAAUAAAAAUCUCUCUCUAUGUAUAAUCCAUCUGUAUUAGAAUUAGAAUAAGUUCGUUAACUGAUGGAAUACAGUGUUCUUUGCACAGAUAAAGAAUGGAGAAACCUCUAUGAACACAGUGGAAAACAAACAUGACAAAAGAGAAGAAGCAGAAGAAAAAUAAGAAGAUUAGGGA
rnacentral:lncRNA from 1 species